ensembl:rRNA 5S_rRNA 5S ribosomal RNA
AUCUACAGCCAUACCACCCUGAACACGCCCAAUCUCAUCUGAUCUCGGGAGCUAAGCAGGGUCAGGCCUGGUUAGUACUUGGCUGGAAGACCGCCAGGAAAUACCAGGUGCUGUAGGCU